rnacentral:lncRNA from 1 species
CCUGGGUCUUGUUCAUGGAUAUGGUUCUCGUUUCUCCCUCCAACAGCUCGCGGGUGAAGACAGUGUAGUUGACGAUGUCGCCAUUGGUCCUCACCGGAGGGUCCCAGCUCACGGAGAUCUCCCGAGGGCCCCUGGUGUGCAGUGUGGCGGGCUGCAGGCCGGCGGGCGCAGAGGGGCUGGUUCGCUCUUUGACUAGCGGACUGGAAACGGCCCCUUGGGAGUUGGUGGCCGUUACCGUGUGGCCGUACUCCGCCCCCGGGGCGAGCCCAGUGGGAUCGUGAUAGCGCCUUUCCAGGCCGGUGUACUCCAGGGCUCCGUCCCUCCUGAGCUCGUAGCUCGGGAUCCGGCCGUUUGGGCUUCGGGGGGGUUCCCAGGUGACCUCUAUGGACUGGGCGCCUGUCACCUGCAGCGCGGGGGGAGCCAUGGCCUCCGGCGGGGCCUCCAUGGUCCGGGCGGCCCUGGGCGCACUAGCCACGCACCCCCCGCCCGUGCAGGCCACGGGGGAGAAGCGGUGGCGCGUGCAGGGCAGCAGGAAGAAAGGAAAGGCAUUCAAAUCCCCUAUUGUAUGGACACUGUGGGCGUACGGUCUCAUCCUCACUAGG